AUCUUCAUUGGUAGCAUUUUUAUGCAUGCCUGCAGCCUCUUAUAUAACUGGUCAGACAAUUUCCGCUGACGGAGGAUUUACAGUGAAUGGAUUCUUCUUCCCAAGUACCUGAUUUAUUUUGUCCACUUCUCUGAAAUCUUCGAAUCUGAUAACUUAGUGUUGUGAUUUCUCAGGCCCUAAUAAACCGCCAGCAUGUAUCUCUUUUGAUUUUUGACUCAUCUUUUCGAUUGUCGUUUAUUGCCCUUUUAUCAAGUGUUGUCGCUUUAUUCCAUUAAAGUCGCGAAUUGAAUUCGUACUGAAUCUUAAAUAAAUCGGUUCCAAAUAUUCUAAUAUCCUUUAAUUCAUUCCCUUUAAUUCGUUACUGUAUAAAACUAAAUUAAUUAUUAAAGGAUUGAGUGGAUUCAUUUAAAUUCGUUUACAAUCUAAUCAAGUAGGUUAUUAGGUAAUUUAUUUUAAUGAUAGCAAUGGAUUGGAUCUAACCCAAGAUCCAUGUGAUCCAAAUCCAAUCGAAUAAGAUUUGGAUUGGAUUUGGAUAUCAAUGUACAGAUCUAAGACGGAUCUGAAGCAGGUCUAGAUACGUCUUAAUAUUUAAAUCCAUAUCCAUAUCCACCCAUUUUUUUAUUUUAUUUUAUUUUAAAAAUUUCUUAACAAUUGUGUAGUUAUAAAUGACAAUAAAUUUUAUUUAUAACAUGUUAGUGGUAUUUAUCAUGUAUUUAAAAAUCUUAAAACUUAAAGGUUAUUUUUAUAAAUUUAAAAGGUUGGCCAGCCCCAAAGUAUGUACUUGCAAUAUUCAAAUUGCAAGCCAAGCACUAACUUCUGGCGAUGUAUUUUAUUAUAUUGGCCAAAUAUUUUUUAAGGAAUAUAGUUAUUCAUAUAUUUGUCAAAUAUGGUUAUAAUAAAAAUAAUAAAGUACUGAAUAUAAAUCAUAUUUAAUUUAUAUGUCAUUAUCUAAUUUUGUAGGAAUGAUGGUGGGUGUGCCGCAGAUAUUAGAAUGAUGAACGAGAUAGUAGAAUAUUAGAUUGAUCUUAAUCCUGUAAUUACUUUUAAAUAAUGUUUUAUUAUCUUUCUUAUUUACUUGUUUUGGUGUAAAAGUAUAAGCUACAAUAUACAUUAUAUUUUUUAGAUAAAUUAUAUAAUUUAAUUGUUACUAAUACAUUUUAGUCUUUAUUUUUUACUCUAAAAAAUUAUUGCUCUUUUAUUGUUGAGUUUUAGAAUUCAUGACGAAUUUAGAGCAGAUUUGAAUUUGAAUUUGAAUUUUUUUUUUCAGGUUUGGAGCAUAUAUAUAUAUAUAUAUAUAUCUUUUUUGGAUCUGGAUAUGGAGCGAAAAACAUGGAUUCAUGACGGUUCUGGAGCAGAUACGAAUCUUGAUUUUUAUUAUAGAUAUGGAUCUAGAUCUCGAUGAUAGUAUAUCCAACUCAUAUCUGUCACAUUGUCAUCCCUAACCCAUUUAUUUUUCAUGUCGGGUUGGGGUCUCAAUAUGUUGACAUGAUUCUUAAAUGGAUCGUGUUUGGGUCGACCUAAAUUUGACACGACACAAACACGACAUGAUGACUCGUUUUGCCAACUGUAGUACUAAUAUAAUAAUAGUUAUAUAUAUAUAUAUAUAUAUAUAUAUAUAUAUAGGUUUACUCCCUUCUCCCAUCCAUUUGUCUUUAUUUUUUGAAUGAUAAAUAAAUUAAAGUUUAUAAUAAUUUGGAAAAAAAUUAAAAAAAUUAAUUUAUUAGAGAUAAACUAAAAUUAACCCUUUUAAAAUAGAUUGGGUGGUAGGUUACAGUGCACAUGUUUGGUCAGGAUGAAUCGAAGUGGAGGGCAAACCCAAAUUGAUUAGGCUUAAUGUAUGUAGGUAAUCGGAAUCGUGAUUGAACUGUUGAAUCCAAGGCUAAUCUAAUAUAGUCUUAGACAUUGCCACAUUGGACUGUUCACACAUGGAAGGUUUGGAUUUGGAUUAAACAAUGUCAUGUGUAACGAAUGAGUAUGAACCGGAGACUUUCUCCAGCUGGACACGUACCGUGAUGCAUACACAUGCACUUGUCGGAGCCAUGCAAACGUGUUUAGAAAAUGUUUUCAUCGUGAUUUUAACUUGAUUUAGCUCUAUCCUCCAGCCAGCGGCCGACCGAUUAAAGAUUUUCUCCUUAUUUAUUUAUGUUUUUGAGUUUUUAAAAAUUCUGAGUCGUAUUAAUGUACCAAUAGAAUUUUUUUUUCUUUAUUUAUUAACCAAAAAAUUUAAAUCGGUAACUGAUAGCCUAGAUUAUAUAUAUAUAUAUCAUAAUAAAAAAUGGCUGGGGCUGGGGCUGGGGCUGGGACUGGGUGGGAACAGAGAAGAUGGAGUCUUCAAGGAACGUAUGCUCGUGUCACAGGUGAUGUCAAAGGACUCGGGUACUUCUUCUCAGUAGUUCUUCUCUCUCUCUCUUUCUUUGUGUGUGUGUGUCUCUCUCUCUCUAUACAUAUAUAUGUCCAAAGGACUCGGGCACUUGGCAGAGCUAUGGCUGCCACAUUCCGUACAUGCUAGCUCUACGAAUGAAACAGAGCUUAACAAAUGCAUGUGCAAAUGGGAAACACACACACACACACACACACACACAUAUACAUGUUUUAAUUCCUUUGAUUUAAUUACGUUCAAUAUAAUUAAUCAUUAAUAUUUUAUAUUAAUUGCUACCUGCAGGCAUGCUGUAGUGGAGGAAUUGGCAGCGCUAGGCGCCAGUCUGCGACAUCUCAUCUUGAGCAGAACGGGAGAAGCUAAUCAACAAAGUCUCUUCUAUGUUCAAUGGGAAGCUUAACAUUCUCGUAUGUUUCAAAAUCUGUAUAUAGCCGUUAAUUGAGUUAAAAUCCCUGAGAUUAAUUAAUUUUCGAUAUUAUAUUAUUCAAAUUCGUAUGUACAUAUAUAGAUAUUAAUUAUUUGAUUUACAUACUGAACUGUGCGCUAUAUAGCUAAAUAACGUGGAAGCAAGUGUUGCAAAGCCAACAUUAGAGUACAAUGCUGAAGAUUUUUCAUUAGUAAUGACAACCAAUUUCGAGUCUGCUUUCCACUUGUGUCAGCUUGCACAUCCUCUUCUAAAAGCUUCUGGUGCAGCUAGUAUUAUACUCGUGUCUUCGGGGCUAGGCGUGGUCUUAGCAAAUGUUGGAACUGUAUAUUCAGCUACUAAAGGUAAGUUACAUAUAAAUAACAGUUGAAAUCAAGCAUAUCUCUGUUUGUACAUUUUAAUGGAAAGUACUGAUGAUGAAUUGCCUGAUUAUUAUAUUCAUUUGCAGGAGCCGUGAAACAGCUUGGAAAAAAUCUGGCAUGUGAGUGGCAGGGGAUAAUAUCGGGACUAAUGCUGUGGCUUCUUGGGUUAUCAGAAUUCCCAUCGUUGAACCUGUAACAACUACAUAUUGUUUGAUUACAUUAUAUUAUGUUCAAACCUGUUUUAAAUACGAUUUUUGAAUUAGGCUUAUUCCGCCAGUUUUGUCCAUUUCCGACUCUAAAAGUCUCAAUUCAGGCUUCCCAUUAGGGCAUGGUUUUAAUAUUAUUGUCAAUUCUUAAUAAGAAACUAGAUUGUUUACUAUAAUGUUUUGGCCCCUUAUUGCUUGCAGUAUCUGGGAAACAGGGAAUUUUUGGACGAAGUCUAAGUCUCGAACCCCAAUUGGACGCCCCAGGGAGACAAAGGAGGUUUCUUCUUUGAUAGCGUUUCCGUGCAUGCCAGCAGCCUCUUACAUAACCGGUCAGACUAUUUGUGUUCGCGGAGGAUUUACAGUGAAUGGCUUUUUCCUCCCAAGCACCUGAUCGCGAUCACUUACAAGAAGCUAGCUCAAGUUGUUAUAGAACGAUGAAGUCCCCUUUGCGGUGGUAAAAUUUUAUCUCUAGCUAAGUGCUCUCUAGUUCAAUAAAAUCUUGACUAGUUUAGCCACGAUAAUAUAAAUUCAUUGCUUCUUUUUGCAUUUGGUUAUUCAAUUCUAUUUUACAGGUUUCAUUUUUUAUUAGCUCCUAUAUUUAAGAGGUUGUUCCCAGUUUUUGUAAUUACCCUAUACAAAAUUAAUGGAAUUCCCAAUCACAUGCGAAAUGAAUCCAAGCAUUAAGUGAUUACAAAAUUUUUUGACAGAUUCGAUGAUGAAGUUAAAUCAGUAAUCACACUGAUAUAAGUAAAAUAAAGCAAAAUCGUAGUUACUCACUAGAAAUUUCUCAUAAGGGGAGGUUCUUUGGAGUUCGAGACGUCACUGCUUCUGAGAAUUUCUCAUCAGCGAAAUACUGGAAAUUAACAAGAAAAAACUAAGAUUAAUAACAUAGUAUUCUCAUCUCACAUAAGACUUUCCCAGAUAAAUUAAAGAUCAUUUCUUAUUAAUACACUAAAUACAAAAACCUGGUUGAAUUAUUCUUACUGCUUCAUUUAGGGAAGUUUUGACAAACCAAUGGGCGACUGAAUUAGCUCUAAUGCUGUCUCCAGCCCAUUCACAUGUAAGCUUCUUUGGAAGUUGGUUCAUGGCUCCUGCAAACAAAAUACACAAACCUGUAUAUGUCUCUACAAUCUCUUAAAUCCGUUUCUGUGGUAUGUUAUUAAGUUAAUUAAUAUAUAUAUAAUUACCUUUAUUAACUGCAUACAGAGGUGCUCCACUUAUUGAUAUUGUUGGGAAAUUGAGCUUCCUCCCAAGAUCAAUCUAAGUAAUUUAUCAAACAACAAAUUAACAGAAAAAAUUAAAUAGAAAAUAAUAUCAAUCCUACAACAUAAGAUUUACGUGGAAAACUUCAAAUCCGAAAAAAAACCACAACCGUUAUCAAAAAGACAACUAGAGAAAAAUAUUUACUAUGUGAAAAAUUAUUACAAUUACACUCUUAGAAAUAAUUUCUCUCACCCAAACCCCAGAUACACCCAAAAUACUAAAACUUCCUAAUACUCACUUAAUGCUUAACUUGCAUUAGAUUUCACAGCUCUAUAGAAUUUUGAAUGCUUCUCUCUAGGAUGAUUAAAAUGAAGGAAGAAAAAAAGGUAUACAAAUAUUUUUUUAAUGAUUUGUCACAUCCUACAUAUACUUUACAAUUUCGAGUCAAUUAAUUAGAAUAUUUUUGAAUUCAUACAUUUAUAUCACAGUCUAUGAUCUAUAGAAAAUAGCUCCAUAACCAUCUAUUUUUCUUUUGUUGAAUAUAAAUUGUGAAAUUCAUUAAUACUAAUUCAUUGUAGCAAUAUGUAUUUUGUUACAGGAAGCAGUUAAGUUAAAAUGGAUUGAUCUUCAUCACUCUCGAGACUGGGCGAAAAUCCCUUAUUCCUCAGAAUUGCCAAACCUUGAGAGAAUAGAACUUUUGAACCGUAGAAAGUUGCCUUACGUUGUCCCAACCAUUCAUAAUUUUAAUCAUCUUAGCAGCUUGUGUCUCGAAGGUUGCAAGAGUCCUAAGCACUUUCCAGGUAACACCCAUUUUAGAUCUCCAAUUGCAGUUAAUUUCUCCUUGUAUUUUGAUCUUACAGAGUUUCCACAAAUCACCGAAAAUGUAAGACCUUUACGUGGGACCCCAAUAGAAGAAAUUCGUGCAUCAGUUGAGUGCCUAAAUCUCGAGAAUUGCAAAAGGCUUAAAAGUAUUAGUAUUUCAAGUAAAAACAUUUGCAAAAGAAUUAUAAAACUGCAAUUAACUUAUUUAUAGGCAAAAAACUUGCCUAAUAGCCUUCAAGUUUGAUCAAAUUUGGUGGCUUACCCACCAAAUUUGAUCAAAUGAAUUUGGUCAUGUUCAACCAUGGCUGCUCCCAUGGUUCAAGAAUGGAGGCUAAAGCCUUUACUUUGACAGAUACCACACCACAAACUGAAGACAUGAAAACAAUAUUUCAUGCGCUCGAUGCUUUCAGAAGAGUGUGUGCAAUGUGGGACGAGCUGACUCAAAAUUUUGUAGCUAUGAUAAAUGACAAGUCUUCAGCUGUGUAACCUACUGUAGUAGCCCUUCGCAUUUGUCCCAACAUUGUUUAUCUACAGUCAUGCACAUGGACAUGGACUAACUUAAUAUAUUAUAAAAAAAAAUGUAUAGAUCAUACAUCUAGUAAUUAAUUAAGUGAUCACAUAAAAGGAUGUUCAGUUUGCCAAUGAAAAGAGAGGAGACAUGUUUCAUUAGAUUCUUUCAUUGUUCUUGUUUUGAAACAUCGCAUACAGAAUAUAAAUUUUAAUAUAUAAAAAAUUAUAUUUUUUGAUCUAUUAAAAUAUUGAAAUCUGUAUUUUUUGUCUGCUUUUUGCUACAAAAUUAUUAUUAUUAUUAUUAGCUAGCUCAGCUAGGCAGCGAUAAUAAAGAAAGUACCCGAGUCCUCUGGAUCCACCGAUAACAAGCGUGGUCAGCCGUCGAGCCUCCAUCUGUCAUGGCCCGCCGUGCCAUUCUAUUUGCCUGAUCCUCUUUCCGCUCUGGUUAAUGCUCUAUUUGCUUCCACGUUCUGGACUUAGCUAACAAUUCCAUCAGGAAGUCUUGGAUAUUAGUCAACCGUGUCCCGUACAAUUACAAUUAAUACGUGGCAGAAAAGAAUUCGCAGCACUCAAAGUUAAAGUGAUCUCUAGUUCAAUAAAAUCUUGACAAGUUUAGCCAUGAUAACAAAUUCAUUGCUUCUUUUUCCAUUUCGUUAUUCAAUUCUGUUUUACAGGUAUCAGCUUUGAUUAGCUCCUAUAUUUCAGAGAUUGUUCCCAGUUUUUUGUAAUUAGCCUAUACAAAAUUAAUGGAAUUUCCAAUCACAUGCGAAACGAAUACAAGCAUUAAGUGAUUACAAUUUUUUUUGAUAGAUUCGAUUAUGAAAUUAAAUCACAGUGAUUAUAAAGAACCAAUGCCAAAACAGAGGCAACUAUCUCAUAUAAAAGUAAAAUAAAGCAAAAUUGUAGUUAAUCACUAGAAAUUUAUGGUAAGAGGAGUGUUGAUGCUAAAAUCUGGUCUGCUGAUGAUGGCAACCGAAUUAUCUCGUCAACACUUGAAUUUGUUUUGAUGGGAAACUGUAGCUCGCUGCUCUGAUAGAAUCAAAAUCACGACGAUACUUCCUUUAUCCGUUGAUACCUUUUUUAAUAUGCAACAACAGAAAACUGUCAGGGGCGCUAGAUUUUUACCGGUGAAAACCCUUCGAUGUUCAAGUCAGCAAUUGAGUUUUUUACUAGAAAAAAUGAUAAUCUAAAAAACUCGAGAUUUCUUAAUUUUUUUUUAAUCUCAAACUUCUUCUUCUCUAUGAAAAAGGAAGAGUCCAUUUUUUUGGAUCUCACCGGGUUCUUAUAGACAACCGUGAGUACUGCUUGUCCUUUAAUAUACAGCCGUUACCAAAUUGAAUGCACCACAUGAAUUAAGAAUUAAUGCAUCCGUUUCUUUAUAAUUAUUGAGCUGUCGUUAUUACGCCGGUCGCACUUAGACGUUACGGACGAACUUCCAAGUGGAGUUCAACAGUUCGAGUAUUUAACCAAAGGCUCAAGAUCGACCAACCCGAUUCUAGUAUGCUCGUAGGGUAUUGGUCGUGCUUGCACAUUCAACCAACUAAAUCUCUCCUCGAUGUUUCACAACAUUGGAAUCUAGUCACUAUGUCUUAUAUCCCAAACAGGGAGGUUCUUUGGGUGUUCGAGACGUCACUGAACAACGGUAUUAUGUAAUUAAAAAAAAAAAGUGAAGAUUGAUAUAAUAAUGACACUUAGGAGUCAGCUCAAAGACUCAUCAACUUUGAGAGUGUUUGGGUUUCAAAACAUUACUACUAUUUUCAGUUACAUAAAGUCCUCUAAUUAGUUGAACCUCCUCCUCAUUCCGUGAAAUGGACCCAAAUUGAAUAACGUUAAAUAUUAACUUGAAGACAGAAUCAAAAUCAAAUAUGGCUAGUAAGUUGAUGCCUAUCUCUUCAGAUACAUGGAGAAUUCGGAUUUAGUCAUUCAUCGUGCACGUUAAUUUAUUUUCAUUUUUAUCGUCACACCAACUUUUGCUUUUGGAUGCAUUUGGAUGGGAAGUUUGGGAUAGAAUUGUAGUGCCUUCACAAGCCUAUGUUUUAUACGACAAAAAAAUAUGUUGAGUAAUGAAGAGUACCAGCUCGGCCAUGUCCUCAUCUCUCACCCUGAGGCGAAUCUCCUCAGCUGAAUGGCACGAGCAGAGUCCUGGUAAAACAUCAUGUAUGGGCAUGUGCCAACUAGAAACGAGCACCGACCAGAGAUAUGUACCGACCAGAUACUCAUCACCCAAAGAAAGAGGACACGAUCUCACGAAAUCGCGACAAUUUCGCCAUGCCCCGAACCGCUGGGGAGAACAUGACAUCUCACGUUUACCCACGAUUCGGUGGUUGGAGACCCAUGAGGGUCUAUCACCACCCGAAAAUGGGGGGCAUGAAGAAUACUCAGAAAACGUGGGAUGACGGCUAUAAGAAGCUAAGGGACCGAUGAAGAAGGGGACACAAAAAUUGAGAAAAAAAGGGAAACUGUGCCAAAUUAUUAUCAGAAAUUCUUAUAUCCAAAUCCUUGAGAUAUUUCGUAUUGAAAAUAUUGCAACUAAUAUGUACAACACAAAUCAUACAAUUUUUCCGUAAACAUCUUGUGCUAAUUUAAGCAUCGGAGGGUUUACGCCGGUAAAACUACUGGCGACUCUGAUAUGUUUCUGUGAACGCAGGAUUAGAAAGAAGAAAAAGGGUGAUUCCAACCCUAGGAGCUCGAACAAUUGCUGAAGCAAAGAGAGGGCGACAUCUUCUCCAUUGACCAUACAAGCGUUGGUGGAACGAUCUGGUCGGGCAAAGGGCGAUCACAUUUCAGCAUCAAUAUUUUGGCGCCGUCUGUGGAGAGCUGGAUAAAAAGCUACCACCAAGUUAGUAGUCAUUAGAGGAGCAGCGAACAAUCGGUUAUGGAUGUGACAAGGAAGGAUGUCCUAGGGGGUGACAAUGAAACUGGUGAAACGAUUACUCUCCGAGAGAUCGCAAAUGAGGCUAGAGAGAGGAUGAUACAAGAGCGGAUGGAACGGAUGGAGAAGCAAAUGGAGACUCUCACAGCUAUACUGCAUGAGCUGAGGGAUGAGCGGAGAAGGGAUUGUGAAACUACCGCGGUGAGAGAUAAAGCCAUUGCAGAACCCAGCCUUCAGAGGCAUAGAAUCGAGGAGAUUCCUCCGUUGGGAGGGCAACCCUAUGGGGUGCAUCCACAUAGAAGUGCAGGUCGGAUCCCAGGAGAGUGCGUGGAUGAAAGGAGAGACCAAUCUCGCUCUGGGCGAGUUAUGAGAGUUGAUAGCCGAGGAGUAAAUGUUGAGGAAACCUUCGCACCUCACCUUUCAAUUCUAAAGCGCGGUCUGAAUCGCGUGCAGCUACUUGGUCUUGCUCCUGCUCAGCGUUAUGCAGUCGCUGUCUGAGCAGGAGCAAGACCAAGUAGCUGCACGCGAUUCAGACCGCGCUUUAGAAUUGGAAGGUGAGGUGCGAAGGUUGGCGCAAGUGAUGAAUGAGAUCCAGGGCAAGAGAAAGCCUCCGAGCUGGAGGAUAAUACUGGAUGAAGAAUCUCUGCUAUCAGCCGAGAUCAUGGGUACGGUGAUCCCAAGAGAUUUCCGCUUUCCUGACCUCAAAUACUCCGGGAGAAGCGACCCGUUGGUGCAUAUUGAGCGUUUUAAUGACAUGACGGGUGUGCAGGGGUUAACACACAGCUCAUAGGGUGUUCCUAUUGACACUAGAGGGACGAGCCCGAGAGUGGUACCGUAAGCUACCACGUGGAAGUAUAAGGAGAUACGAGCAGAUGUGCCAGGAGUUGGCCGAGCAGUUCCGCGGAGCAAUAGCCCUAGAGAACGAUAUGAUGGAAUUGAUGAGGAUGAAGCAAGAGGAACACAAAUCCCUUCGCGAUUUUGUGAAGAGAUAUCAUCGGGCUGUGCUUGAUUUGGGGACUUUUAAUCACCCGCAGGCAUUAAGAGGGUUAAAAGAGGUGUGAUGAUAUGUCGAUUGUGGUACAACUUGAGAAACCCCAUCAUUCAGAAUUAUUCAGCGGGGUAUGAGCAGGCGAUGAGAGAUAUAGAAAUUGAAGAGGAGAAAACGGUGAGGAUAAAGAGUGAACAACUGGAGGAGCUGAGGCGAAAGGAGAAGAGAACACUGAGUGGAAGCGUGUCGGGAAAGCGAACUGGGGAAUCAUCAAUAAUGGAGGAAGCAUCUGCUUGGUCCCGCCCUUAUACAAUAGCUCAAAGACCACAACAGUUCCAACACAGCCGAACUUAGCCCCAGCGUCCCCCAUUCCCGGAACGGUAGUGGGAAUUCCGGCAGAUGGCUGCCCAUCCAUAUCACAAUACCUCAAGAGUAGUGAAUGCGGUUAACCCCAGAACUGGCAGACCAAGCCAGCCACCCCCAGUCCCAGCUCGGGACGAGUUUCACGACAGCCGAGCAGUCCAACUGAUUGACCAUAGCUUGGCGUAUAAACAGUACACCCAGUUGAAAAUUUCUAUGGAGGAGUUGUAUGAGAGGAUCAAGGGACGAGGCCUGCUAUAUCCUCCCAUCCCUGUAACUAAACCAGCUCACAAACGGGAUAAAAGAAGAUUCUGUAAAUUCCACGAUACUCAUGGUCACACUAUCAGCCAGUGUCGUGAUCUGAAAAAUCAGGUGGAGGAUUUGGUGAGAAACUGUUACUUGGAUGAGUAUGUAGAUGGGACGUUCCCUAUCAUUGAAUCAUAAUAUACGCUGGGGGAUGGAGUCGAGAGAGAUCUGGAGCGUGAACAGCCAACUAUCCGGGUGAUAGCAGAAGGGCCGACAUUGGCUGGAGAUUCGAACAGGGCACGGAAGAAUUAUGGGAGAUAUGCUCUGACCAGCAAAGAGAUGCUUUUCAAUUUGCCAAUAGUCAAGAGGGCGAAAGUGAGGCAAGUUCCCAUUAUGUGGACAGAUGAUGAUGAAGAGGGUGUUUUAUACCCUCAUGAGGAUGCACUAGUGAUUAAGGCGAUGGUGGCGGGUAAAGAAUUUCGGCGAAUACUGGUGGAUACGGGCAGCUCGGUCGACAUACUGUUUAAGUCGGCCCUAGAUGAUAUGGGAAUUGCGGACUUGAAAUUGGAACGGACGAACACAUCCUUGAAAUGAUUUGGAGGAGGACGGUUGACCUCCAUGGGGAUCGUCGAGCUGCCGAUUACUGUAGGAUCGAAGCCGUUUGAAAAAAUAGUGAUGCUGGACUUUGUAGUGGUGGAAGAGAAAAGCUCUUACCAGAUAAUACUGGGACGAUCUUUCAUGAGGGUAAGCCAAUGUGUUAUAUCCAUGCAUUAUCUAGCGUUGAAAUACAGAGUGAACGGGGUUGUGGGCGUAGUAAAAUGAGACCAGAGAAUGGUGAUGAGUUGUUAUGUUAUAGCCGCCAAUGAAACAUUACAAGUUACCACUCUAGAUAACCGAGGAGACUCUAAAAAAGGUCGCCAGGAACCAGCGGAGAAAUUGGAAGAGGUUUUGGUGAACAAGAAUGACCUGAGCAAAGUGAUAAGGAUUGGGUCGGGAUUGGGCGAGGCAAUAAAAGGCGAGCUGGUAAAGUGCCUACAGUCCCAUGUAAAUAUAUUUGUUUGGUCGCAUGAGGACAUGCCAUGAAUUAAUCCCGGGGUAGCUUGCCACAAGUUGGCAAUUAGGAAAAGUGUAAGACCGGUGAGGCAGAAAAUGAGAUGCUUUAACCAGGAAAGGUACGAGGCCAUAAAUGCUGAAGUAGAGAAGCUGUUGCGAGCAGGAUUCAUAAGGGAGGCUAAAUACCCGGAGUUGAUUUUCAAUGUGGUGUUGGUAAAGAAGGUCAAUGGGAAAUGGAGAAUGUGUGUAGAUUUCACAGACCUUAACAAAGCCUGCCCAAAUGAUGGCUUUUCCCUACCUAAAAUAAAUCAAUUGGUUGACUCAACGGCGUGCCACAGUCUGCUUAGAUUCAUGGAUGCCUUUUCGGGAUACAACCAGAUACCCAUGGACAAGUAGGAUGAGGAGAGUACCACGUUUAUAACUAACAUGGGCUUGUUUUGCUACAGAGUGAUGCUCUUUAGCCUGAAAAAUGCAGGGGCUACCUAUCAAAGGUUGGUGAAUAAAAUUUUCAAGCCAUUGAUUGGUCACACUAUGGAAGUAUACGUGGAUGAUAUGAUCACGAAGUCUAGAGAGCCAAUAGACCAUGUGAAGCACUUGGAAGAGACCUUCGAAUUGUUGAGGAAGUACCAAAUGAAGCUGAAUCUGGAGAAGUGUGCAUUUGGAGUUAGCUCGGGUAAAUUCUUGGGGUUCCUAGUGAGCCACCGAGGGAUAGAGGCCAACCCAGAAAAAAUACGGGUGGUAAUAGAAAUGAAGUCCCCCGAACAAUUAAGGAGGUGCAGAGCUUUACAGGGAAGUUGGCGGCAUUGAACCGGUUCAUCUCGCGGGCCACGGAUAAGUGUCACCAUUUCUUCCAAACCAUAAAGAAAAUGGAGUGGACUGCAGAAUGUGAGGAGGCAUUUGGGCAGCUGAAGGAAUAUCUUGCCAGUGCCCCAUUAAUAUCGACUCCGAGAGAGGGUGACGAGUUGUAUUUAUAUUUAGUUGUCUCUAAAUGGGCUACUAGCUCGGUAUUUGUCAGAGAAUGUGAGGGAAAGCAACACCCUGUGUACUACACUAGCAAGGCCCUAAUGGACGCAAAAACUAGAUAUCCACUGAUGGAGAAAUGGGCGCUGGCUUUAAUAACGGCAGCACGCAAGCUCAGACCAUAUUUUCAGGCCCACCCGAUAAUAGUGAUGACCGACCAACCUAUUCGGCAAACGCUCCUAAAACCAGAUGCAUCUGGUCGGUUAGUAAAAUGGUCUAUAGAGCUGAGUGAAUUCGACCUAUCUUACAGACCUCGAGGAGCAAUCAAAGCCCAAGCCUUGGCUGAUUUUAUGGUUGACCGUAUGGAACCAGGGGAAGGAGUUCAGAAGGAACAACCGGUUGAACCGGAGAAACCAGAAGGGGUGUGGCUGGUAAUGGUUGAUGGGUCACGUAGUGAACAAGGGUCCGGAGCAGGAGUAGUAAUACGAAGCCCAGAAGGGGCCGAUGUGUCCUAUGCAGUGAAGUUCGAAUUCCAGCUCACGAAUAAUCAAGCAGAAUAUGAAGCCUUCAUCACCGGGCUUGGGCUGGCACACGCAUUAUGAGCAGAAAUGGUAGAAAUCCGAGCAGACUCUCAGUUAGUCUGUAAUCAGCUCAAUGAACAAUUCCAAGCAAGGGAAGAAAAGAUGGAGCUUUAUUUGAAGAAGGCAAAACAGAUGAUUAGGCUCUUCCAAGAGGUAGAAAUAAAGCAGAUAUCCCGAACAGAGAAUUACCGAGCAGAUAUGUUGGCCAGAAUGGCCGCAAUUGCGGAUCCGAAGUUACUCAAGUCGGUCCCAUUGGAAGUAAAGACCUCGCCAAGCUUAGAGAAGGAGGUAGAAUUAAUGCGGGUGAGCACCGAAAGAUCCUGGAUGGACCCAAUUCUCUCAUACAUCCGCGAUGGCAUUUUACCAGAGGACAUGAAGCAAGCAAGGAAGUUGAAAUUUCGUGCAGCAAGGUAUACGCUACUCGAUGGGGUACUCUACCGUCGAGGAUUCACUUUGCCCCUCUUGAGAUGUUUGGAUGACGAGGAAGCAAAUUAUGUGCCGAGGGAAAUUCAUGAAGGAAUAUGCGGCAACCACUCAGGGGCAAGGACUUUGGCCUUCAAGGCACUUCAACAAGGGUAUUUUUGGCCGACUAUGUACCACGAUGCGAAGGGGAUGGCAAAAAAUUGUAGAGUCUGCCAAAGUUUCUCGGAUGUUCCUGCUCAGCCCCCAGAAAGGCUAACCGCUAUGUCAUCUCCAUGGCCUUUUGCCCAGUGGGGGAUCGACCUGAUUGGCCCAUUACCCAAAGGCCAAGGAGCCGCAACACAUGCAAUUGUGGCUAUAGAUUACUUCACUAAAUGGGUAGAAGUAGAAGCCUUCAGUCAAAUCACGGAGAGGAAGACAACUGAUUUUAUCUAGAAGAAUAUCAUCUGCAGAUAAGGAAUCCCCUAUGCCAUCAUAACGGACAAUGGGAGGCAAUUUGACAACCACAAUUUCAGAGAAUUUUGCCAAAACUUGGGUGUAGAUUUAAAGUUUUGUACAUCGGCACACCCCCAGGCAAACGGGCAGGUAGAAGCAGCCAACAAAGUUAUAAAGAAGCUCCUGAAAACCAUGCCGGGAGAGAAGAAAUGAGCUUGAGUCGACGAGCUACCAGGAGUGUUAUGGGCUUACCGAACAACCCACAAAACUGCCACAGGAGAAACCCUAUUUGCCCUAGCUUUCGGUCAUGAGGCGGUAAUCCCAUCAAAAAUUGGGGUGGGAACGCAUCAGACAGAAUAUUUCGACGAGAAACAGAAUGAUGAGCAGAUUUGUAUGAGCCUAGACCUAUUGGAGGAAAAAAGAGAAGGGGUCUCGUAGAAAAUGACCCAAUGCCAAUAAAAAAUCAUACGUUAUUACAACAAGAACGUACGCAUGAGGCAGUUCCGAGCAGGCGAUUGGGUACUUAGAAAAGUGAACCAGAACACAAGAGAGCCUAAUCAUGGAGUUCUCGGCCCGAAGUGGGAGGACCCGUACAGGGUAGUACGAACAACUGGCCCAGGAGCUUACAAGCUGACCUACCCAGAUGGACGAGAUGUAAAGAGGUCGUGGAACGCUGAGCACUUGAAGAAAUAUUUCCAAUAAGCGAAGCGUUUUACCAAGUUUUAUUCUGCCAAGCUAUUUCUGUUAAAUGCAUGAUGAAUUGUAGCACACGCAUGUAUUUCACCUCUUGUAAUCCAUGAAAAGUUUAAUAAAGAUGAACUCAACACAAAAUUCCCUUGUUAGAUGAAUUUUGUUAAGGCAAGCAAGUGUUUAUUCCUACUCGGUCGUCUAAAUGACUAGCAAGCAAAGUCUACUAAAAUUAUUAAGGCAAACAAGUGCUUAUUCCUGCUCGGUCAUCUAAAGGACCAGCAGGCAAAGUUUAUUAAAUUUGUUAAGGCAAGCAAGUGUCUAUUCCUGCUCAGUCGUCUAAAGGACCAGCAAGCAAAGUCUACUAAAAUUAUUAAGGCAAACAAGUGCCUAUUCCUGCUCGGUCGUCUAAAAGACCAGCAGACAAAGUCUACUAAAUUUAUUAAGGCAAGCAAAUGCCUAUUCCUGCUCGGUCGCCUAAAGGACCAGCAGGCAAAUUCUAUAAAAUUUUACUAAGGCAAACAUGUGCAUAUUCUUGCUCGGUCGCCUAAAGAACCAGCAGACAAAUUAUAUAAAAUUUUACUAAGGCAAACAUGUGCAUGUUUCUGCUCGGUCGCCUAAAGAACCAGCAGGCAAAUUCUACAAAAUUUUACUAAGGCAAACAUGUACCUAUUCCUGCUCGGUCGCCUAAAUGACCAGCAGGCAAAUUCUACAAAAUUUUACUAAGGCAAAUAUAUGUCAACUCCUGCUCGGUCGUUUGAAGGACCAGCAGGCAAAAUUCUAUGAAAUCGUUAAGGUAAGAAAUUGUCUAUUUCUCCUCGAUCACUCAAAGACAAGCAGACAUAUUUUUCAAGGUAAUUUGCAGAAACAACCAAAAGCAUAACUAUGGCAAGAAAGCAACUAGAAAUCAUCAAAGGUUUAUAACCACUCAAACGUUUGCAAACAAACAAAAAUCCAGAAUUUACAUAGAAAACAAGGUUAGGGAUUGUGAGGCUCAGCAGCCUCAGUAGAAGGAGGAUCAGCAAUCUCGGAAGAAGAAUGACCAGCAACUUCUGGAGGAACAGGUGUUGACCCCUGACCUGUUCCCAAAGCAUGAUCCCCUGCUCCCCACCUGAAGGAGCAUCGACCUAGUCCUGGUCCCCCUGGUCCUUAUCCCCCUAAUCUGACUCGGCCAUAUACUUCUGCACUCUCGCCUCCAGCUUGCUCAUGUUAAGCUCUAGAUAUUCUUCCUUAAGCACAAACAUGAUGCACUUGUAGCAAAAUGCAAGCCCAGAGUUAUUCUCUGCAUCCAGCCAGUCGUCCACCUCAGCAGAUUUGCCCUUCAGCUCGGCUACCUGCUCGUUCAAGGACUUGAUUUGCUCCUCGUAGGCCGUCUUCAAAGUAUCUCGCUCACUUUGUGCAGCCUGGAGAUCAGACUUCAAGUCACCCAACUCGCUCUCGAGCUUGGAAGAGUUGGACUCAGCAAUGGUCACUUUCUCCUCCAGGUCCAUGAUCUGCUUAUGCAGAUCGAGCAGCUUCUCCCUCAAGCGAUCAGCGAACUCAGCCUUUUUCUUCAAGUCUUGGUUGUCCGCUUGAAGCCUCCUCUCAUGGCGCGUGGACUUGUUCUUGUAGCAAGAAACCAAAGUAGUCAGCUUAAAAGAGACCCUCUUAAUAGAACCAAUCAAUUCGCUAAGAUUCAUGCUCUCAAUAUCCUUGAUCAUUUUGGGUCCCACUGACUUGCCAUAGUCCCUUUGGUAUGGGGUCAAAUAGUUACCAUGAUCCCGAGGUGGAAGAGGAGAGGAUCGAUCUCCAGAUUGAGCGCUGACCUCAGGACUCUUGUCGCAAACCUUCUCCCCGCUAUUCUUUCGAGGUGGAGGAGGGGGCAGAGCAGGAGCAGGAGCCUUAGAAGAACUAACAUUGACUUUCUUCAAGGGAGGGGGGGAUUGCUGGAGCUACCUGACCCCCAAGCACGUUUCUUUGACAUAGGCGCGACCUAAUAAGAUUUGUUGACGAUAGGAGAUCUUGACAGGUAGACGCAUUCACUAGAGUAAUUUCCACCUUGAGCAGCGGAUCGUCAUCAAGUUUCUUGAUUAGGCCCCACGACUCUGAAAGAAUAAACAAGGUUAAAGAACUAAAUAAGUGACGACCAGAGACGUAAAGUGUACAGAAAAAUAAACAACCUAGGGUGACAAAACGCGUUGGAAGGUGAAUAUCACCACCAAGCAAAUGGAUCGUUGGACACCAAUUUUCCUCAGUAAAGAAAAAUUUGUUCUUCCAGUUUUUACACGAGGAAGGAAAGUCGGUGAUAGGCUUCCUCUUCGCAGAGCUUGACAUAAAGUAGUACCAGCCUGCUUCCUUUGGACUGCUCCUCAGCUGAUACAAAUAUUUUACCUCCAUGAGGGAAGGCUCCCCGAGUCCACACAUUUCCCAUAGCACAUACAAGGCCGAAAGAACACUUCACCCGUUCGGGUGAAGCUGACCUGGAGCCAGAUGCAUGCCACCCAAUAUCCUGGCAAAAUAAGGUUGAAGGGGCAACCGAGCCCCUAACUUGAAGCUCUCCAGAUGCAUUGUCACAUACCCCUUAGGAGGCCGACUGGGGACAUCACCUUUCCCAGGGAUAACAAGGAGGACGUCAUCAGGGAUAUUAUAAAGAUUUCUUAGCUUGAGCAUGUCAGUGUGGGUGGUGGCACAAGUAAUAUAGUCAAUGGGGUAAGCAUCUGCCUCUAUCCUAUGACCGAGGUAUCUCUUCUUAGAGGGUCGGCUCGGCUCUGCUCGGAACUACUCUCCUCACCAUCACCCUCUUCAUCAGGGACCCCAGCCCCCUCAGAACCGUGAUUUUCACCAGAACCCGACGAUGGUCCACCACGGUUUCCCAUAGGUUUAAAAUCAAGGGAAGGAAAAAUGGUCUUGGGACGAGGGUACUCAGGGGUAUCCCUAUUAUAGAAGGGGCCUACACUGCGAGAAUGGUAUAGUGGAUCAGUGGGUCCUAAUAGGUUGUGGUACGAAUCCUCUACCUCUUCGUCACUCUCAUCUACAAUUAAUUUUCCUCUUCGGUUUGACAUAGCGAAAUCUGAAAAGGGAAAGCACAACAAAUCCAAGUAUAUUGGUACAAAAGGGACAAUACAGAACCCAAGCAACAACAACCAGAGAAGAAGUUAAAGGCGAUACCUGGAAUAGAUCGACACUGGUAGCGUUACCGUGACGGAGAAAGAGCCCAGCAAACAGAAGUCUCCGAUGCAGAAAGUACGAGUAAGGUCCAAAGAAGGAGUUGGCUUACGGCAGAAUGAUAGAUAACGAAACGCAAUGGCAGUUCCAAUUUAGGGAUUUAAGACGAAAGGGGGAACAGAGGCGUUUAAGUUAUGCGGAUGUCAGCUCAAUCGCCGCGUAUCAAGGACAUAUAAGCCGCCGUUUCAAAUUUCAAAUAUGAAAGGGCAAAAAGUGACACGUCACUGGCCAUUAAAAAUGCAUGAUGAGAUGUCAGCCCAGUUGUGUAUUGGAUACGCUCACAAAAGCCCAUACUCAGGCCAGAAACCCUCUAAACAGAAGAAAUUAUCUCGGGUCCGUCACGGUAAUCAAGACGGCAUGAUGAGUUGUCAGCCCAGCUACAUAUUAGACACGCUCACGAAGGCCCAUACUCGGACCGAGAACUCUUUAAACAAGAGACGUCACCUCGGGUCCAUCACAAUAACACAAGGACCAGAGGAAUGUUUCCCGAGGUUAGCCAGAUCCAAUUCUUAGUUUCUAAUCUCAACUCGUUUCACUCGCAAGACCAGAAACUAGGGGACUGGUGUUGAGUAAUGAAAAGUACCAGCUCGGCCAUGUCCUCAUCUCUCACCCUGAGGCAAAUCUCCUCAGCUGAAUGGCACAAGCAGAGUCCUGGUAAAACAUCAUGUACGGGCAUGUGCCAACUAGAAACGAGCACAGACCAUAGAUAUGUAUCGACUAGAUACUCAUCACCCAAAGAAAGAGGACACGAUCUCACGAAAUCGCGACAGUUUCGCCAUGCCCCGAACCGCUGGGGAGAACAUGACAUCCCACGUUUACCCACGAUUCGGUGGUUGGAGACCCAUGAGGGUCUAUCAUCACCCGAAAAUGGGGGGUAUGAAGAAUACUCAUAAAACGUGGGAUGACGGCUAUAAGAAGCCAAGAGAUCGAUGAAGAAGGGGACACAAAAAUUGAGAGAAAAGGGGAAACUCUGCCAAAUUAUUAUCAGAAAUUCUUAUAUCCAAAUCCUUGAGAUAUCUCGUAUUGAAAAUAUUGUAACUAAUAGGUACAACACAAAUCAUACAGUUUUUCCGUAAACAUCUUGUGCUAACUUAAGCAUCGGAGGGUUUACACCGGCAAAACUAUCGGCGUCUCUGAUCUGUUUAUGUGAACGCAUGAUUAGAAAGAAGAAAAAUGGUAAUUCCAAUCUCAAAAGCUCGAACAAUUGCUGAAGCAGGGAGAGGGUGACAUCUUCUCUAUUGACCAUACAAGCAUUGGUGGAAUAAUCUAAUCGAACAAAGGACGAUAAGAUUUCAGCAUCAACAAAAUAAUCAAAAGAAACGAACAAUUUUCAUUAGAAUAUAUAGUAAUCUUAAUAUCGCCUUGCUGGAAGGAUGCCCUUAAUUUCGCUGUUAUUGGAUUCUGUCAAAAGGAUUGGAUCCAAUAAAAUCUUGCAAUUUGGAUCACGGCAUGCAGAUCUCACCUUUGUUAGGAAAUUGGUGGGUGAAGCAGGACCGCAGUUAAAAUAAAAAUGGAAGAAAAAUAAAGAACAAACACAAAAGAGAAUACCAGAAAUUACGUGGUUCGGCUUUUAGCCUACGUCCACGGGCGAAGAUAGAAGGAAAAUAUUAUACUAGUGAAAAGGAGUUACAAGUAUUGUAGUAUUUUAGCUCACUACCCAAAAGCCUCAAUACACCCAAACUCUCAAAUCACUAAGCACACAAAAUUCUUUGCUCUUGCAAGAAUUACUUCUCACAACUCUCAACUCUCUCUACAAAAAUUGGAUGCAAAUGAAUUAGGAAGCUCUCCCUUUUAUAGCCAAAAAAUGGCUAUUAAAUUAAUAUAUAUAUAUUUCAAAUGUUGUUGCCAACUUCUUCUUUUUCUUUGGACGGCACCAAAACUUUUAACAUUUUCUUUGGUCGGCUUGUCAAAGCCAACUUGAAUUUGCCUUGUGGCCACCGGCUUUGACAUUUCUCCCACUUGGAGAUUUGAUUGAGAGUCAAUCAAUCUCCACACCAUCUUUUCUGCUUCGCCAUAAUCAUGUUGCCUACGUUUCUGCUAGGCCACAAGAAGAUCUACUCCAGACAAACUUAUCAGUAUUUAUCGGCUUGGUCAAAACAUCUGCUAGGUUCUCCUUGGUAUGGAUUUUCUGUAAAUCCACAUUUCCGUCUUCCACUACUUCUCGAACGAAGUGAUACUGAACUCCUAUGUGCUUUGUCCUGGAAUGAAAGGCUGGAUUCCUUGCAAUGUGCAAGGCACUCUGACUGUCACAAAACACAGGAAUUUUCUGUUGUUUGUGCCCGAGCUCCUCCAAUAACCAUUGUAUCCAAAUAGCUUCCUUGCAAACUUGUGUAGCUGCCAUGUACUCUGCUUCUGUUGUAGAUAAAGCCACAACGGUCUGCAGUUUCGAAACCCAGCUUACAGCUGCUCCCGCAAGUGUAAACACAUAACCAGUAGUGGAUUUUCUUUUAUCAAGAUCUCCUGCAAAAUCUGAAUCCACAUAGCCCCUAACAGUAAACUCUGAUCCUCCAUAACAUAAUGCAACAUCUGAGGUUCCGCUAAUGUAUCUCAGAAUCCUCUUCACAGCUAUCCAAUGUUCUCCACCAGGAUUCGCCAUGUAUUGACUAACUGCUCCCACUGUUUGUGCAAUGUCUGGUCUUGUACAUAUCAUAGCGAACAUCAAACUUCCCACUGCUGAUGCAUACGGUACUCGAGACAUCUCAUUCCUCUCUGCUUCAUUGCUAGGACACAUACUUGAGGAUAAUUUGAAAUUAACAAAAAGUGGGGUAGAAAUUGACUUACAAUCUUGUAUGUUGAAGCGCCGUAAUAUUUUCUUCAAGUAAUUCUUCUGUGAAAGCCAAAUCUUCCUGUUAUUUCUGUCUCGGUGAAUUUGCAUCCCUAGAAUCUUGUUUGCUGGUCCCAAGUCCUUCAUUUCAAACUCCCUAGCCAACUGUGCCUUCAAUUCUUGGACUCGAUCUUUGUUGGGGCCUGCUACCAACAUGUCAUCCACGUAUAAUAGCAAAAUGAUGAAAUCAUUAUCUUCAAACCUCUUGUAAUAUGCACAAUGGUCUGAACUGAGUCUGUUGUAUCCAAGGCUCAUGAUGAAGGAAUCAAAUCUCUUAUACCAACAUCUCGGCGCCUGUUUGAGACGGUAUAGAGAUUUGUUCAACCUGCAAACCAAGUUCUCCUUUCCUGUUUUUGCAAAAUCUUCUGGUUGGAGCAUAUAUAUUUCUUCUUCAAGUUCUCCAUGAAGAAAUGCAUUUUUCACAUCCAACUGCUCAAGAUGUAAGUCAAAUGUAGCACACAUCGUCAAGACAACUCUGACUGUUGUAAGUCGAACCACCGGAGAAAAUAUCUCGUUAAAGUCAAUACCUUAUUUCUGAGCAUAUCAUUUCACCACCAAUCUUGCACGAUACCGCUCCACUUGGUCAUUGCCAUCACGCUUGAUCUUGUAGACCUAUUUGUUUCCAAUGGCUUUUCUUCCGUGUGGUAGUGGUACAAGUUCCCAUGUCUUGUUCUUGUGUAGAGCUUUAAUUUCUUCCUGCAUUGUUGUCAUCCACAAAGCAACAUCUGAGCUGUUUAAAGCUUCAUGGAAAGUUGAAGGCUCUUAAUCCUCUGUUAGAAAACAGUAUGCAACGUUGAUCUCUGUGACAUACUCCGAGUGCCAGAUUGGCGGUCGUCUCUCACGAGUUGACCGACGAACUUCUGAAGCCUCGGACUCAACUGGUUCUUGUUCUUCGUGCUCUGGUGCUGCUUCAGAAGAAUCUGAAUCUUCUGGAUUAUUUUCCACAUAUACCGGUAUAGUCUCUGACUUUUCUUUUACCCUGCUAUCAUCCUCAUCUCUCCUUUGCAGUUGAUCUUCUAUAAAGAUAACAUCUCUGCUGAUGACGAUCUUGUGGGCAGUGGGGUCCCACAGACGAUACCCCUUUACUCCAUCAGCAUACCCCAAGAAGAUACAUCUUCUAGAUUUUGGAUCCAGCUUUGUUCUUUCUUGGGCAUUGUACAUCACGUACACAGGACAUCCAAAUGCAUGUAGGUAGGAAUAAUCAGCUGGCUUUCCAGUCCACAUCUCCAUCGCUGUCUUCAACCCAAUUGUUGUAGAUGGUGAUCGAUUUACUAUAUAACAGGCAAUUUUGGCUGCUUCUGCCCAAAAUUAAUUGGGUAGACCAACAGUCCUCAACAUAGCUCUUAUCCAUUCUGUAAGAGUUCUAUUCAUCCGUUCUGCCACUCCAUUUUGUUGAGGAGUGUAUGUCACCGUGAACUGUCUCUGAAUACCUUCUUGCUUACAGAAAGUAAGAAACUCGCCGUCUGUAUACUCUCCACCAUUAUCUGUCCUCAAGCACUUGAUCUUUUUACCAGAUUCAAGUUCCACCCGCACUUUGUAUUCUUUAAACACUGGAAAUACAUCUGACUUUUUCUUAAUUGGAUACACCCAACAUUUUCUGGAAUAAUCAUCAAUGAAAGUCAUCAUGUAUUUUGCACCUCCCAUAGAUAUAUCCGGUGAUUCCCAAACAUCAGAAUGAAUCAAGUCUAGAAUGCAUUUACUUCUAGCAAUAGAUCUACUGAACUUUAAUCUAUGCUGCUUACUUGUAACACAAUGCUCGCAAAAUAGUAAACUUACCGAUUUGAGCCCCGGAAGCAAUUUUCGCUCAGAGAGAAUCUUCAAACCUUGUUCUGACAUGUGACCAAGUUUGAGAUGCCACAUCAUCAUUGACUCUUCUCCAUUUGACGCGACACACGCAUCAGCCUCCUGUAGUGUUUCUCCUUUAAGCAUGAAUAGAUUAGCACCGAUCUUUUCUGCCUUCAUCAAUACAAGCGCACCUUUAACGAUCUUCAUUAUUCCAUUCUCCACAUGAUUUUUGUACCCAUGAUUAUCCAUUUGUCCCAAAGACAAUAGAUUUUUCUUCAAGCCGUUGACAUGUCGUACCUCCCCAAUUGUGCGAAUUGUACCAUCAAACAUUUUUAUUUUGAUAGUACCAAUACCAGCGAUCUCUAAGGCAUGAUCAUCUCCCAUAUAUACAGAUCCUCCUGAGAUAUGUUCAUAUGUGUGGAACCAUUCUCUCCGAGAGGUCAUGUGCCAGGUAGCUCCUGAGUCUAUAAGCCAGACAUCAGACAAUCGUUUUCUGCCUUCUGAAACAGUUGUUGCCUCACUGUAGAGAAUUUCGCCAUCAUCUGAGGUACUUGCUACACACCCCUGAGCAUUUGAUGACUCAGGUUCUUUGCCCUCUCCUUUCUUCUGGUUACUCCAACACUCUUUCUUGACGUGCCCUUUCUUGUCACAGUUGUAGUAUUUAACAUUCUUCUUACUUCUGGAUUUUGAUCUACCAUUAUUGUGACUCCCACUAGGGCCACGUUCCGUUGAUCUCCCUCUCGUCACCGAUAGCGCCUCCGCUUGCUGCGAACUUGCUUGUCUGUUUUCUUUAUUUUUCCGCCUGCUCUCCUCAUUUAAUACGGAGGCUGAAACAUCAUCGAAAAUUAGAUUGUCCGAUGGAUUGUUGUUCGUCAGAUUGAUGAUGAGUUGAUCAUACGAAUCUGGUAGACUUUGAAGUAGAAGCUCUGCACGUUCAUUUUCCUCUAUAUUAUGACCCAACGUUGUGAGUUAUGAAAAUAGAGUCUUCAAAGUGUUGAUGUGAUCGGUCACCAUUGUAGAUUUCGCCAUUCGAAAAGUAUAGAGUUUCCUCUUCAAGAAGAUUUUGUUGUGUAAUGACUUGGCCUCGUACAAUUUUGUAAGAGUAUCCCAAAUUUCCUUCGCUGUAUUUUUCUCUGCCACACUGGAUAAUACUCCAUCUGCAAGUGCCAAGUGUAGAUCAAAAAUGGCGUUGCCAUCUAUCUCGUUCCACUUGUCAUCAGUUAUCUCCAUGGGCCUUUCUCCAAUUGCUGCCAAGUAAUUAUUUUUCCUCAAUACAUCUUUCAUUUUCAUUUUCCACAACGAAAAAUUAUUUCCAUUAAAUUUCUUAAUUUCAUACUUUGCCGCCAUUUUGUUGAUAAAUACUGCACACAAGCUAGUGUACCACUUUGAAUAGUUGUGAGUAUGUGUUAGAAUGCACACCAGGAAAGUUCCCAGGAAAGACUGGAGGGGUCACAAUGGUCCCACUUAAAACCCAUACUCCUUAAGCUCUUAUCGCCUUUGUGACAGACCUUUCCUAGAAAUGUACAAAAAACCACACAGUUGUUUUACUCACACCACUAUUCCCUGCUUUGCACUACAAAAUUCUUGGAUCGCUCCCACCGUUUCACGUAGUACCGUAUACGUGAAACAGUACCGUAUACGUGAACAGUACCUGACUCCAAAAAAUACAACCAAUAGCUCUGAUACCACUGUUAGGAAAUUGGUGGGUGAAGCAGGACCGCAGCUAAAAUAAAAUUGGAAGAAAAAUAAAGAACAAGCACAAAAGAGAAUACCAAAAAUUACGUGGUUCGGCUUUUAGCCUACGUCCACGGGCGAAGACAGAAGGAAAAUAUUAUACCAGUGAAAAUGAAUUACAAGUAUUGUAGUAUUUUAACUCACUACCUAAAAACCUUAAUACACCCAAACUCUCAAAUCACUAAGCACAUAAAAUUCUUUGCUCUUGCAAGAAUUACUUCUCACAACUCUCAACUCUUGCUACAAAAAUUGAAUGCAAAUAAAUUAGGGAGCUCUCCCUUUUAUAGCCAAAAAAUGACUAUUAAAUUAAUAUAUAUAUAUUUCAAAUGUUGUUGCCAACUUCUUCUUUUUCUUUGGACGGCACCAAAACUUUUAACAUUUUCUUUGGUCGGCUUGUCAAAGCCAACUUGAAUUUGCCUUGUGGCCACCGACUUUGACAACCUUAUCUUAUCUUAACUAAAUCUAGUGACCUUUUUAUUUUCAUAAUUGAUCUUUAUCUAUAAUCAAUCAAAUGGUGUCUGCUCGAUAUUUAUCAGUUUGGAUAAUUUUUUUUAUUUAAAAAAAUCUGAAUUUUGACGUAACUCACUUUAGUUUCCAUCUUCCUCACUGAACCGGUGACGACAACGCACUUACGUAGGUAGAUUUGUUUCAGGUGCAUAAUUAUUAACUAUGCAAGUCGAGAUAAUAAUUAAUUAGACACGUGUUUCUUUUGAGAUGGGAAAAUUUCAUAAUGAUAAUUUAUUAAAAAUUAUUACUCUUUGUUAAUCUUGGACAUAAUAAUUAGAAAUCUAUUUAAUUAGCUUAAACGUUAAAUUUAAAGUUGAAGUUGUGUGUGAAGUUCACUUAACUUUUAUCACCUUUAUUUCGAAUGGCGCCUCCGACGAACGGCAAUGGCAGGCUCAAUCAGAGAUGGACUGUCCAGGGCAUGACUGCGCUUGUAACUGGUGGAACCAAAGGACUAGGGUUCUUAAUCGAUUCUUAUCUCUCUAGUUAGCUCUUAUAUGCAUUCCUUUCCUAUUAAUAUUGCCUGCAUGUGCUCAUAUUUUUGUCUCUGUUAUUGGUGCAUUGACUAGUCAUGCUGUAGUGGAGGAACUGGCUGAGCUUGGUGCCACUGUGCAUACAUGCUCUAGGAAUGAAGCAGAUCUUAGUGAAUGCAUACGUGACUGGAAAACCAAAGGCUUCAAAGUCACCGGUUCAGUGUGCGAUGUAUCAUCUCGAAUUGAACGGGAAAAGCUUAUAAACCAAGUCUCCUCUCUGUUCGAUGGAAAACUUAACAUUCUCGUAUGAUUCAUAUAUGGUGUUAAUUAUAUUGCAUAUUAAUUAAUUGUUGUUAUAAUUAAUCCCGUGGUGCAGUGAGUUUUAAUUUGCUUUACUAGCUAACUACUUAAUUAACACGAUCCAUAUCACUUAUCACUAUGUCUAUGUAUGUAUGCGAUGUGACUCUCUCUAGAUAAACAACGUCGGGACGACUAUAAGAAAGGCGACUGUGGAGUACACAGCAGAAGAUUUCUCGUUUCUCAUGGCUACCAAUUUUGAGUCUGCUUACAAUCUGUGCCAACUUGCACAUCCUCUUUUGAAAGCUUCGGGGGCAGCAAGUAUUGUUCUAAUGUCUUCUGUUUGUGGGGUGGUGUCAGUUGUUGACGCUGGAUCCAUAUAUGGAGCUACGAAAGGUGACCCUUGACAACAUUUUUCAACAUCAUAUCAUGAGCUCUAGUCUUGUCUUUGAACCCCGUGACUGGGAGGCUCUAUGGCAUUACGACUUGUCUUUAAACAUUAAACUUGAACUUUCUCUAACCCCAACUAGUUAUAUGUUAAUCACAGGAGCCAUGAACCAUCUUGCGAGGAUUUUGGCAUGCGAGUGGGCUCAAGACAAUAUUAGGACCAAUUCUGUCACACCUUGGUUCGUCCCGACUCCUUUAACUGAAUCUGUAAGAACUAUUUUAUUCACUCUGAUUCUCAAUGUUAUAUAUAUGAAUGCAGUUUCAUUUUUCUUAUUAAUUAGUUAAAAAAAUUAAUAAGAAAAAUGAAAGUGUGUUUUUCUCCCAAGUUAUUAUAUGAUUGAGGAUGCCCUCUUAUAAAUUUGCAGUUUCUGAAUGAUGAGGCAUUUUUAAAGGAAGUCGAGGGUCGAACUCCAAUGAGACGCACAGGGAAGCCAAAUGAGAUAUCUUCAUUGGUAGCAUUUUUAUGCAUGCCUGCAGCCUCUUAUAUAACUGGUCAGACAAUUUCCGCUGACGGAGGAUUUACAGUGAAUGGAUUCUUCUUCCCAAGUACCUGAUUUAUUUUGUCCACUUCUCUGAAAUCUUCGAAUCUGAUAACUUAGUGUUGUGAUUUCUCAGGCCCUAAUAAACCGCCAGCAUGUAUCUCUUUUGAUUUUUGACUCAUCUUUUCGAUUGUCGUUUAUUUCCCUUUUAUCAAGUGUU
rnacentral:lncRNA from 1 species